CGAAAGCCUGACGGAGCAACGCCGCGUGAGGGAUGAAGGCCUCUGGGCUGUAAACCUCUUUUAUCAAGGAAGAAGAUCUGACGGUACUUGAUGAAUAAGCCACGGCUAAUUCCGUGCCAGCAGCCGCGGUAAUACGGGAGUGGCAAGCGUUAUCCGGAAUUAUUGGGCGUAAAGCGUCCGCAGGCGGCCUUGUAAGUCUGUCGUCAAAGCGUGGAGCUUAACUCCAUUUAAGCGAUGGAAACUGCAAGGCUAGAGUGUGGUAGGGGCAGAGGGAAUUCCCGGUGUAGCGGUGAAAUGCGUAGAUAUCGGGAAGAACACCAGUGGCGAAGGCGCUCUGCUGGGCCAUAACUGACGCCCAUGGACGAAAGCCAGGGGAGCG
rnacentral:rRNA from 1 species